rnacentral:rRNA from 1 species
CACCUCUAGCAUUUCAAGUAUUAGAGGCAUUGCCUGCCCAGUGACUAUAGUUAAACGGCCGCGGUAUCCUGACCGUGCAAAGGUAGCAUAAUCAUUUGUUCCUUAAUUAGGGACUAGUAUGAACGGCUAGACGAGGGAUCAACUGUCUCUUAUUUUUAAUCAGUGAAAUUGACCUUCCAGUGAAGAGGCUGGAAUAUAAUAAUAAGACGAGAAGACCCUAUGGAGCUUAAAUUAACAAGCUUAAUUAUUAACUUCAACACCCUAAUGGAAUAAAACAAAAAAUAUAAGCUUAAAAUUUUGGUUGGGGUGACCUCGGAGAAUAAAAAAUCCUCCGAAAGAUAUAUAACAUAGACCUACAAGUCAAAGUAACUAUAAUAUCUAAUUGACCCAAAAAUUGAUCAACGGACCAAGUUACCCUAGGGAUAACAGCGCAAUCCUAUUUAAGAGUCCAUAUCGACAAUAGGGUUUACGACCUCGAUGUUGGAUCAGGACAUCCCAAUGGUGCAGAAGCUAUUAAUGGUUCGUUUGUUCAACGAUUAAAGU